rnacentral:rRNA from 1 species
CGACAUGACGCAUGUCGUGUCGGGAAAGAUUCAUCGGUAUGGGAUGGGGUCGCGUCCUAUCAGCUUGAUGGCGGGGUAACGGCCCACCAUGGCUUCGACGGGUAGCCGGCCUGAGAGGGCGACCGGCCACAUUGGGACUGAGAUACGGCCCAGACUCCUACGGGAGGCAGCAGUGGGGAAUAUUGCACAAUGGGCGCAAGCCUGAUGCAGCGACGCCGCGUGCGGGAUGACGGCCUUCGGGUUGUAAACCGCUUUUGACUGGGAGCAAGCCCUUCGGGGUGAGUGUACCUUUCGAAUAAGCACCGGCUAACUACGUGCCAGCAGCCGCGGUAAUACGUAGGGUGCAAGCGUUAUCCGGAAUUAUUGGGCGUAAAGGGCUCGUAGGCGGUUCGUCGCGUCCGGUGUGAAAGUCCAUCGCUUAACGGUGGAUCCGCGCCGGGUACGGGCGG